rnacentral:rRNA from 1 species
CCUACGGGUGGCAGCAGUGGGGAAUAUUGCACAAUGGGGGAAACCCUGAUGCAGCGACGCCGCGUGAGUGAAGAAGUAAUUCGUUAUGUAAAGCUCUAUCAGCAGGGAAGAAAAUGACGGUACCUGACUAAGAAGCUCCGGCUAAAUACGUGCCAGCAGCCGCGGUAAUACGUAGGGGGCAAGCGUUAUCCGGAUUUACUGGGUGUAAAGGGAGCGUAGGCGGUUUGGCAAGUCUGAUGUGAACUACCGGGGCCCAACCCCGGGGCUGCAUUGGGAACUGCCAGGCUGGAGUGCGGGAGAGGCAGGCGGAAUUCCUAGUGUAGCGGUGAAAUGCUUAGAUAUCAGGAGGAACACCGGUGGCGAAGGCAGCCUGCUAGACUGCGACUGACGUUGAUGCCCGAAAGCGUGGGGAGCAAACAGGAUUAGAUACCCGAGUAGUC